ensembl:lncRNA
CAGCCCGUGCCCUCCUUCAUUGUCCUUGCGUUUCUCGCUGGUCGCUAACCAGCAUGCGAGUAAACAUUCUGUUUGUUUAUGAGUUUACUGUCUCUCCCCCAUGAGACCAGAACCUCGUCUGUCUUUUUCAAAGCUGUGUCCCCAGCAGCUGGAACCGGGGCUGCUCAGUAAAUACAGUGCAGGUUGGGCGAAUAAACAGCUCAUUCCUGAUGCCUGUCACUACCGAUUCCACCAGGUAUGACCGAGGCUGGCCACCUGCUCACCAACCCCAUUUCCUUUUCCUGAGCACAUGGGACAAUGACAUUUCCCAGCUUCCUUGCAGUGAAUUCAGAGACAUUCUGACCAAGAAAACAAGGAUAUGAGGGAUGUAAGACAAUGCCAGUCUGGUCCAUAAAACACUCUGCUUGAGCCUCUCAUCUCCCAGCCCCUCACAGUGACCUGGAACACAGCUGAAGAUGGUGACAUCACGAGAUUGAAGGAGCCUGAAUCCCUGAGCCACCACUUGGAGGAGAUCCUGCCAGGAGAGAUGCCCCACCAGACGCUGAGCGCUCUCAUCUGGAAACGCUGAGUGAGAUGGUGGAUCGUGACCAGGAGAGCACUUGGCUGACCUCCCUCCUGGCCCCAGGGCCACUGGGUAGAGCCCCUCAUCUGAGAUCAACCCCACGCCUGUACACCCACAGCGGCCGGAGCAGACGCCAGGCACCGAGCGUGAUGGAUCCGGAGCAGACCUUACCCCGCCCUCCUGGAGCUCCGGCCAGAGCGUGGGAUCCUCAGAACGCCCUCCCCACUCACAGACUUCAUCUGGCCGAGCAGCAGCGAGGCUGGGAUCCCUGACCCCCCCUCCCCCUCCCCCACCCCCUGGAGCGGCUUAUGUGUCAGCCUGUAGCACACAGCACGCGGGGCUGACGCCCUGAAGCCUCCUUGGCUGCUUGGUAAUCAGAGAAGGAACCUGUGCGGAGGUGGGACUCUCAUUUUCACUUAAUUGGAAAGUCCGCCUCAUCAAAGAGAGCACGAUGCUCGGUGGCCCUUUCUUCCCUCGCCAGUGACCAUUAACCUUUAAAAGACACUUUCUGAGCCGUCUGCUGAGGCUCCUUCUCCUGCCAGGUGUAAUGAGGCUCACAAACGGCGAACAUGAGAAAUGCCACAAAUGAGAGGCCCCAGAGCAGGGCCCCGGGCCACCCAGCCAGGCGGGUGCCAGGAGAGGAAUGUCAGCAGCCUGGCGGCCGCCCAGCCCUCAGCCACGGGACUCCGGGACGGCCCGGGCUGAGCUCAUUCCAGAAGUGACUUCGACUGAGCCAGUGGUGGCAAAAAUAAACAAGUGAGAUCUUGUCAUUCCUCUGGCCAAAACCUCUGCUGCUCCCACCCGACUCAGAGCAGAAGCCAAGUCCCUCCAGUGGCUGGGGGCCUGCUGACUCGACCCCUCCUCACCUCUGAUUCCCCUGCCCCUCCACCCCUCACUCUCUCCUCUCCAGCCACACACACCUCCUGGCUGUGGAUCCACGCCAACCCCAGGACCUGUCCCAUCCACUGCUGAGCCCCUGUGCCCCUCAGGGCCCCGCACACAGCAGGCGCUCAGUAAACAUUUGUGAAAUGAGCAGUUAGAGGAAACCGUCGUACAGACACUGUGG